AUAUCAAUAAGCGGAGGAAAAGAAACUAACCAGGAUUCCCCUAGUAACGGCGAGUGAAGCGGGAAGAGCUCAACUUGAAAAUCUGUGCGCCUUCGGUGCACCGAAUUGUAGUCUAUUGAAGCUGUUGUCAGGCGCAGCCCCGGGAGAAGUCUCUUGGAACAGGGCAUCAUAGAGGAUGACAGUCCCGUCUGUGCCCGGGAGUCUGCGUUGUACGACACGCUUUCAACGAGUCGAGUUGCUUGGGACUGCAGCUCAAAAUGGGUGGUAAAUUCCAUCUAAAGCUAAAUACAGGCGAGAGACCGAUAGCGCACAAGUA
rnacentral:rRNA from 1 species